CAGUAUGAGAUAUAAAUGUUUACUGCAGUUUUGACAAUGCCCAUCAAGUGGAGUUGCUGUGAGUUCUCAUGCAGUGUAUGAAAAGUACAGUACUGCUGUUGGAAGAGGAGCAGUGUGGUAUCUAUGGUCCACCAUCACUUCAAGCAUUAUGACUAUGGAUAAAAGAAGGUUUCAUUACAUAUGGACAACUAUAUUGGACAAAAUAAGAAGUGUUCUAAUAAGUUCUGGAAUGUGGCUUGUUAUGAUGGGUCUGCUUGAUUGGCUUGGAGUACAACCUGAUGGGGACUGGGCUUGCAGAAUUCAGUCCUGAACAUGUUUAGAAUGUCUUCUGCAUGACCUAGUAUAGUAUUCUUGAAGGAUUAUAACUUCAACACAGAGACGGAGAUUAAUAUUUUAGGCAGGGGAUUGGCAU